rnacentral:rRNA from 1 species
GACGAACGCUGGCGGCGUGCCUAAUACAUGCAAGUUGAGCGCUGAAGGUUGGUACUUGUACCAACUGGAUGAGCAGCGAACGGGUGAGUAACGCGUGGGGAAUCUGCCUUUGAGCGGGGGACAACAUUUGGAAACGAAUGCUAAUACCGCAUAAAAACUUUAAACACAAGUUUUAAGUUUGAAAGAUGCAAUUGCAUCACUCAAAGAUGAUCCCGCGUUGUAUUAGCUAGUUGGUGAGGUAAAGGCUCACCAAGGCGAUGAUACAUAGCCGACCUGAGAGGGUGAUCGGCCACAUUGGGACUGAGACACGGCCCAAACCCCUACGGGAGGCAGCAGUAGGGAAUCUUCGGCAAUGGACGAAAGUCUGACCGAGCAACGCCGCGUGAGUGAAGAAGGGUUUCGGAUCGUAAAACUCUGUUGGUAGAGAAGAACGUUGGUGAGAGUGGAAAGCUCAUCAAGUGACGGUAACUACCCAGAAAGGGACGGCUAACUACGUG